UAGUCUGCCAGGUGACUCCAGCUAGCAGCUCUAUGCUAUAUCCGAAUAUGGAGGAUUACAAAGGGCCAAUAGGGCUAUCACCACCUACGGCCUACCUCUACUAAUCCAUAGGAUAUAAGGCAAACGAAGGAUAACCCCUAGCCUAGACACCACGUCUACACUAUUGAUUACUACCGUAGUCUAACUACAUCUAUCGACUAGUAGUAAACUACGAUACUCUGUAUAGAAACAGAGCGACAAACCCACAAGCAGAGAGACUAGAUCUCACUUAGAUAUGAGUACUAAACUAGACAAGGAAUCACGAAUACUCACUUACUUUACUCAGAAGAACUCAGCACUCCGCCAAUCUACUCUCCCUCUCUCUCUCCCUAUACUAAGAACUAGCCUAGAUAAGGCUUCGCCAUGGAGUGGAUCUCUUCUCUUGAUAGGAGUGAGGGACUUCACAAAGUGGAGGUGGAGUGGUUGUUGUCCUCAAAUGAG
rnacentral:lncRNA from 1 species